AGAUUGAACGCUGGCGGCAUGCCUUACACAUGCAAGUCGAACGGCAGCGGGCCCUUCGGGGUGCCGGCGAGUGGCGAACGGGUGAGUAAUGCAUCGGAACGUACCCGGGAGAGGGGGAUAACCGGCCGAAAGGCUGGCUAAUACCGCAUGAACUCGGAAGAGCAAAGCGGGGGACCUUCGGGCCUCGCGCUCGUCGGAGCGGCCGAUGUCCGAUUUAGGCUUAGGUUGGUGGGGUAAACGCCCCACCGAAGGCGACGAGUCGGUAGCGGGUCUGGAGAGGACGAUCCGCCACACGUGGGACUGAGACACGGCCCAGACUCCUACGGGAGCGAGC
rnacentral:rRNA from 1 species